GACGAACGCUGGCGGCGUGCUUAACACAUGCAAGUCGAGCGGUAAGGCCCUUUCGGGGUACGACGAGCGGCGAACGGGUAGGAGUAACACGUGGGUGGACCUCGCCCUCCAGUUCUUGGGAGUAAGACCUCGGGAAACCGGGGUACCGUAAUAACUGGAUAUGACCUCAUGACGCAUGUUGUGGGGUGGAAAGCCUUGUGCGACUGAGGAUGGGCCCGCGGCCUAUCAGCUUGUUGGUGGGGUGAUGGCCUACCAAGGCGACGACGGGUAGCCGGCCUGAGAGGGCGACCGGCCACACUGGGACUGAGACACGGCCCAGACUCCUACGGGAGGGCAGCAGUGGGGAAUCUUGCGCAAUGGGCGAAAGCCUGACGCAGCGACGCCGCGUGAGGGAUGACGGCCU
rnacentral:rRNA from 1 species